AUUGAACGCUGGCGGCAGGCCUAACACAUGCAAGUAGAGCGGAGCGGAGGACGGGCGAGUAAUGACUAGGAAUCUGACUGGCAGUGGGGGAUAACGUACGGCAAGGGGCGGUAAUAACGCAUACUAUCAGACGAGCCUAGGCCGGAUUAGCUAGGUGGUGGGGGAGAGGCCUACCAAGGCUACGAACCGUAACUGGUCUGAGUGGAUGAUCAGUCACACUGGAACUGAUACACGGUCCAGACUCCUACGGGAGGCAUCAGUGGGGAAUAUUGCACAAUGGGCGAAAGCCUGAUCCAGCCAUGCCGCGUGUGUGAAGAAGGUCUUCGGAUUGUAAAUCACUUUCAGUUGGGAGGCGUUACCUACAGAAUAAGCACCGGCUAACUUCGUGCCAGCAGCCGCGGUAAUUC
rnacentral:rRNA from 1 species